rnacentral:rRNA from 1 species
AUUGAACGCUGGCGGCAUGCCUUACACAUGCAAGUCGAACGGCAGCACGGGUGCUUGCCCCUGGUGGCGAGUGGCGAACGGGUGAGUAAUACAUCGGCACAUGUCCUGUAGUGGGGGAUAGCCCGGCGAAAGCCGGAUUAAUACCGCAUACGAUCUACGGAUGAAAGCGGGGGACCUUCGGGCCUCGCGCUAUCGGGUUGGCCGAUGGCUGAUUAGCUAGUUGGUGGGGUAAAGGCCUACCAAGGCGACGAUCAGUAGCUGGUCUGAGAGGACGACCAGCCACACUGGGACUGAGACACGGCCCAGACUCCUACGGGAGGCAGCAGUGGGGAAUUUUGGACAAUGGGCGAAAGCCUGAUCCAGCAAUGCCGCGUGUGUGAAGAAGGCCUUCGGGUUGUAAAGCACUUUUGUCCGGAAAGAAAUCCUUGGCCCUAAUACGGUCGGGGGAUGACGGUACCGGAAGAAUAAGCACCGGCUAACUACGU